CCUACGGGAGGCAGCAGUAGGGAAUCUUCCGCAAUGGACGAAAGUCUGACGGAGCAACGCCGCGUGAACGAUGAAGGCCUUCGGGUCGUAAAGUUCUGUUGUUAGGGAAGAACAAGUGUUAGUUGAAUAAGCUGGCACCUUGACGGUACCUAACCAGAAAGCCACGGCUAACUACGUGCCAGCAGCCGCGGUAAUACGUAGGUGGCAAGCGUUGCCCGGAAUUAUUGGGCGUAAAGCGCGCGCAGGCGGUUUCUUAAGUCUGAUGUGAAAGCCCCCGGCUCAACCGGGGGGGUCAUUGGAAACUGGGAAACUUGAGUGCAGAAGAGGAAAGUGGAAUUCCAAGUGUAGCGGUGAAAUGCGUAGAGAUUUGGAGGAACACCAGUGGCGAAGGCGACUUUCUGGUCUGUAACUGACGCUGAGGCGCGAAAGCGUGGGGAGCAAACAGGAUUAGAUACCCUGGUAGUCCACGCUGUAAACGAUGAGUGCUAAGUGUUAGAGGGUUUCCGCCCUUUAGUGCUGAAGUUAACGCAUUAAGCACUCGCCUGGGGAUACGGUCGCGAGACUGAAACUUAAAUGAAUUGACGGCUGAGAGNGCGAGNGACGACGAGGAGAG
rnacentral:rRNA from 1 species